rnacentral:rRNA from 1 species
AUGCACCGAGUUUACCAUGUUCAGAAACAAGUGAUGAGGGAGAUGCAGAUAGCUGGGCUGAACCAGGCUCACACUGAGAGGAAACAUAAACUCGAGGUCUCGCGCGACGGCAAGGCUACCGACCGUCAGCAACUCUACAACUGCACCCCUGCCUCUGCAACAAAAUGCAACCUUGAGCUCACCCUAGCAACCGAGAGCAGCAGAAGCCACAAGGGCAAGCAAGUGGGCAAGUCCUCAAACUCAGACCCCGGGAUGGCGGUGUCGUCAACAUCGACCGAACCUGAUCUGGCUCAGCUCAGGGAGUUUGACACGAGGGCAAUGAGGUUUCAGACUGAGAGCAAAAGUUGCACCAGCCUGUGA